rnacentral:rRNA from 1 species
AUGCAGUCGAACGGUAACAGGCCGCUGUGAUCCCUUCGGGGUGAACUUGGCGCUGACGAGUGGCGAACGGGUGAGUAAUGCUUGGGAAUCUGCCCAGUAGUGGGGGACAACUCGGUGAAAACCGGGCUAAUACCGCGUACGUCCUACGGGAGAAAGUGGGGGAUCUUCGGACCUCACGCUAUUGGAUGAGCCCAAGUCGGAUUAGCUUGUUGGUGGGGUAAUGGCCUACCAAGGCGACGAUCCGUAGCUGGUCUGAGAGGACGAUCAGCCACACUGGGACUGAGACACGGCCCAGACUCCUACGGGAGGCAGCAGUGGGGAAUAUUGGACAAUGGGCGCAAGCCUGAUCCAGCGAUGCCGCGUGUGUGAAGAAGGCCUGCGGGUUGUAAAGCACUUUCAGUGGGGAAGAAAAGCUCGAGGCUAAUAUCCUCGGGUCUUGACGUUACCUACAGAAGAAGCACCGGCCAACUCCGUGCCAGCAGCCGCGGUAAUACGGGGGGUGCAAGCGUUAAUCGGAAUUACUGGGCGUAAAGCGCACGCAGGUGGCUAGGUUAGUCGGAUGUGAAAGCCCUGGGCUUAACCUGGGAAUUGCAUUCGAUACUGCCUAGCUAGAGUAUGGG